rnacentral:rRNA from 1 species
UACGUAGGGGGCUAGCGUUGUCCGGAUUUAUUGGGCGUAAAGAGCGUGUAGGCGGCCAGGUAGGUCUGCUGUGAAAACUCGAGGCUCAACCUCGAGACGUCGGCGGAAACCAUCUGGCUAGAGUCCGGAAGAGGAGAGCGGAAUUCCUGGUGUAGCGGUGAAAUGCGUAGAGAUCCGGAGGAACACCAGUGGCGAAGGCGACACGCUGGGCCGUACCUGACACUGAACCGCGACAGCAUGGGGAGCAAACAGG